rnacentral:rRNA from 1 species
UACGUAGGGUGCGAGCGUUAAUCGGAAUUACUGGGCGUAAAACGUGCGCAGGCGGUUUGUUAAGACAGAUGUGAAAUCCCCGGGCUUAACCUGGGAACUGCAUUUGUGACUGGCAAGCUAGAGUAUGGCAGAGGGGGGGUAGAAUUCCACGUGUAGCAGUGAAAAUGCGUAGAGAUGUGGAGGAAUACCGAUGGCGAAGGCAGCCCCCCUGGGUAACACUGACGCUCAGGCACGAAAGCGUGGG